UAAGGUUAAGUUAAUAAGGGCGCACGGUGGAUGCCUUGGCACUAGAAGCCGAAGAAGGACGUGACUAACGACGAAAUGCUUUGGGGAGCUGUAAGUAAGCGCUGAUCCAGAGAUGUCCGAAUGGGGGAACCCACUAGUUAAUGACUAGUAUCCAUAUCUGUUAAGGAUAUGAGAAGGAAGACGCAGUGAACUGAAACAUCUAAGUAGCUGCAGGAAGAGAAAGCAAAAGCGAUUGCCUUAGUAGCGGCGAGCGAAACGGCAGGAGGGCAAACCGAAGUGUUUACACUUCGGGGUUGUAGGACUGCGAUAUAGGAUUAAUCAUUAUAGAAGAAUUACCUGGGAAGGUAAGCCAAAGAGAGUAACAGCCUCGUAUUUAAAAUGAUAGAUUAACCUUAGCAGUAUCCUGAGUACGGCGAGACACGCGAAAUCUCGUCGGAAUCUGGGAGGACCAUCUCCCAACCCUAAAUACUCUCUAGUGACCGAUAGUGAACCAGUACCGUGAGGGAAAGGUGAAAAGCACCCCGGGAGGGGAGUGAAAUAGAACCUGAAACCGUGUGCCUACAACAAGUUCGAGCCCGUUAAUGGGUGAGAGCGUGCCUUUUGUAGAAUGAACCGGCGAGUUACGAUAUGAUGCGAGGUUAAGUUGAAGAGACGGAGCCGUAGGGAAACCGAGUCUUAAUAGGGCGCCAUAGUAUCAUGUUGUAGACCCGAAACCAUGUGACCUACCCAUGAGCAGGUUGAAGGUGAGGUAAAACUCACUGGAGGACCGAACCAGGGCACGUUGAAAAGUGCUUGGAUGACUUGUGGGUAGCGGAGAAAUUCCAAACGAACUUGGAGAUAGCUGGUUCUCUCCGAAAUAGCUUUAGGGCUAGCGUCGAUGUUAAGUCUCUUGGAGGUAGAGCACUGUUUGGGUGAGGGGUCCAUCCCGGAUUACCAAUCUCAGAUAAACUCCGAAUGCCAACGAGAUAUAAUCGGCAGUCAGACUGCGAGU
rnacentral:rRNA from 1 species